AUGCCGGAGGGAGAUGGAGGAGCCGGCUGCCUGGCUGACUCGUUUGGAACCGGGAUCUUGGCCAGUGGACUUCGGGUCGGGGUCCGGAGAUCGCCCUCCAUGUGGGGCUCCAUGCAGCGCCCAGACGUCUUCCUCUUGGCCCCCUGCUCCAGAGGCGCCGCCGGGGAGGCCGUCUCCGUGACGCUAGGCUGCCUGGUCAGGGGCUACUUCCCGGAGCCCGUGACCGUGACCUGGGACACGGGGUCCCUGAAUACAAGCGUCGUGACCCUCCCCGCUGUCUUCAACUUGAACUCCAGCCUCUACACCACCAGCAGCCACAUGACGGCCUCUGGCGAGUGGGCCAAACAGACAUUCACCUGCAACGUGAAGCACGCCGGGUCCGAUCCCAUCAACAAGACCAUAGACAUAGACCUCACGCCAGACAGAGAUAAGACGAGCAUGCCUCUGUCCCCAGCGUGCGACACGAACGUCACCCAGCCCACGGUGAGGCUCUACCACUCGUCCUGCGACCCCAGCGGCGACACCCACGCCACCAUCCAGCUGCUGUGCCUCAUCACCGACUUCACCCCGGGCGACCUCAAGGUCACCUGGCUGGUGGACGGGCAGAGGAGCGAGAACCUGUUCCCGACCACCGACCCCCCUCGGCAGGAGGGCGCGCUGGCCUCCACCUCCAGCCGGCUCAACAUCAGCCAGGGGGAGUGGGUGUCCCAGAAAACCUACACCUGCCAGGCCAGCCUGCACGGCUGCACCGUUAAGGCCCGAGCCCGCACCUGCCCAGAGUCUGAGCCCCGCGGCGUGAGCGUCUACCUGAUCCCGCCCAGCCUCCUGGACCUGUACGUCCACAAGUCGCCCAAGGUGUCCUGCCUGGCGGUGGACCUGGCCAGCCUGCAGGGCCUGAACCUACAGUGGUCCCGGAAGGGCGGGGCCCCCCUGACCGGGGCCACCCAGAUCAGCAAGCGCCACUUCAACAUGACUUACUCCGUCAUGUCCACCCUGCCCGUGGUCGCCAACGACUGGAUCGAGGGCGAGACCUACGAGUGCAAGCUGAGCCACAAGGACCUCCUACCCCAGACCAUCGUGCGCACCAUCACCAAGGCCCCCGGCAAGCGCGCUGCCCCCGAGGUCUUCGUGUUCCCGCCGCCCGAGAAGGAGCAGGGGGCCCAGGACACGGUCACCCUCACCUGCCUGAUCCAGAACUUCUUCCCCGCGGACAUCUUGGUGCAGUGGCUGCAGGAGGGCGCCCCGAUCCCCAGCCACCAGUACGCCACGACGAAGCCCCUCAGGGACCCGGGCGCCAGCCCCGCCUUCUUCGUCUUCAGCCGCCUGGAGGUCCCCCGGGCCGACUGGGAGAAGAGGAGGUUCACCUGCCGAGUGACCCACGAGGCUCUGCCCGGCUCCCGGACCCUCGAGCGAUCCGUGUCCAGAGACCCUGGUAACUAG